rnacentral:lncRNA from 1 species
ACAGGUCGUGCACGAAGACGCCCCCACCCCCACCCCUCAGUUAACCACACGCAGCGCAGAGAUCACACGAUGACAACCGUCUGUGGCCUGUCCUCGCCAGGAUCUCUGGCAGGUUAUCUCUCACCAGCUCCUGGAAGGGAGCCCAGGGGUCGUGGCCCCCCUCCUGGGGGCCCAGGGGCGCAGCCCCGACGACACUCACGGCUCGCGUUCUCCAGCCGGACCAGGCAGUUGAGGAAGUCAUCAAAGCCGAGCUGGAGGUUCUCGUCUGUGUACCUGAGGACAAUCAGCUGCAGGAGGCGACCGCUCAGCUGGAAGCCUGCGGGGAAGAGCGAGGAGACCCCAGCCGGUCAAAGGCCGGGCCCCGCGGGCGCACCUUCGGGAAGCGCCCAGCGCUCUGUCCACAAAGUGCGGGUUCUCAGGCCCAGCGGGGGGCCGCCGUCCUCAGACACUGCGUGUGUCCACUAGCUGACGAUGUUUCUGGAUGU